UUGCCUCAGUAGCACAUAUACUAAAACUACUGAAAUGAUACACAGAAGAUUAGCAUGACCCCUAUGCAAGGAUAACAUAAAAUUCUGCUUUAAAAAAAAAACACUA
rfam:Otolemur garnettii contig046235, whole genome shotgun sequence.